rnacentral:rRNA from 1 species
UACGGAGGAUCCGAGCGUUAUCCGGAAUUAUUGGGUUUAAAGGGUGCGUAGGCGGCCAUUUAAGUCAGCGGUGAAAUUUUGCAGCUUAACUGUAACAGUGCCGUUGAUACUGUUUGGCUAGGAUUUGGUUGUAGUGCGCGGAAUGUGUGGUGUAGCGGUGAAAUGCUUAGAUAUCACACAGAACACCGACUGCGAAGGCAGCACACUAAGUCAUUAUUGACGCUGAGGCACGAAAGUGUGGGGAUCAAACAGGAUUAGA